GACAGAGGGUGCGAACGUUGUUCGGAAUUACUGGGCGUAAAGCGCAUGUAGGCGGCAACGCAAGUCGGGCGUGAAAUCCCACGGCUCAACCGUGGAAGUGCACUCGAAACUGCGUAGCUAGAGUCCUGGAGAGGAAGGUGGAAUGCUUGGUGUAGAGGUGAAAUUCGUAGAUAUCAAGCGGAACACCGGUGGCGAAGGCGG
rnacentral:rRNA from 1 species